rnacentral:sRNA from 1 species
UCGAAACCUGCCCAGCAGAGCAACCUGCGAACGUGUACGUAAUAUUCGGAAAGCAAGCGGUGGCCUUGCAGCCCCAAUUGUGGCCCGCUGUUGGGGGGUGCACUCCGACCCCCUAAGGGGAGACGCGUGAACACCCCAACAAAAUAACGAAACCCGGCGCGAACCGCGCCAAGGAACUUUAAGAAAAAAAGAGAGCCUUCCCCCGAUGCCCUGUUCGCGGGUGCUAGGGGGGUAGUGUCAUCUCUCACGAAUCUAAACGACUCUCGGCAACGGAUAUCUCGGCUCUCGAAAUGCGAUACUUGGUGUGAAUUGCAGAAUCCCGUGAACCAUCGAGUUUUUGAACGCAAGUUGCGCCCGAAGCCAUUAGGUUGAGGGCACGUCUGCCUGGGCGUCUCACAUUGCGUCGUUCCCUAUCCCAACCACAACGGGUGUUGGUGUUCGGAAGCGGAUUUUGGCCCCCCGUACACUCACGUAUGCGGUCGGCCUAAAAACGAGUCCCUGGCGAUGCGUGUCACGACAAGUGGUGGUUGAUAAGCCGUUGCGUCCUGUCGUGCACUGCUUCGUCGCCGGCGGUUUCUCUAACGACCCUGAAGUGCCGUUGCAACGGUGCCUCGAUCGCGACCCCAGGUCAGGCGGGACUACCCGCUGAGUUUAA